rnacentral:rRNA from 1 species
CCUACGGGUGGCUGCAGUGAGGAAUAUUGGUCAAUGGGCGGGAGCCUGAACCAGCCAAGCCGCGUGAGGGAAGACGGUACAGCGUAUCGUAAACCUCUUUUGUCAGGGAACAAAGGCGGGGACUAGUCCCCGGAUGAGGGUACCUGAUGAAUAAGCCACGGCUAACUACGUGCCAGCAGCCGCGGGAAUACGUAGGUGGCAAGCGUUAUCCGGAUUUACUGGGUGUAAAGGGCGGGAAGGCGGGAGUGCAAGUCAGAUGUGAAAACUAUGGGCUAAACCCAUAGCGUGCAUUUGAUACUGUACUUCUGGAGUGCUGGAGAGGCAAUCGGAAUGCCGGGUGUAGCGGUGAAAUGCGUAGAUAUACGGAGGAACACCAGUGGCGAAGGCGGAUUGCUGGACAGUAACUGACGCUGAGGCGCGAAAGCGUGGGGAGCAAACAGGAUUAGAUACCCUAGUAGUC